CUCUCUCUCUCUCUCUCUCUCUCUCUCUCUCUCUUUCGUUCUCUCUCGAUCAUUUAUAUUCAUAGGGUCAAUCGCACCCUAAAAUGAAGGAAAGAAGGUUUACGCAAGUUUGUCGUUUCGAAAUUCUAAACCCCCAAAUAUCGCUGUUUCUAGAGAAUCGGUAGCAUAAUCUGUAAUCACAAUAGCUAUCCUCACGUCAAAUUCUUCUGUGGAGGUGAAUUGCGACUAGUUCAGAUCCUAGAAUCUGGUUCAAGAUAGCUAUAUCUGAUUUAGGUAGCUUCAGGGAUUUAAAGUCUGCCACUAAUAAUGAGUUUAAAUGUAGAGAUAAUUUGUAAGUGGCAUGCUGCAGAAUGGUACCGAAGGAAAUUAUAGAGUCUAAAUUUCAUCUAAACAGCGUGAUGGAGAGAUCCUGCAUAACAAUGAAGCUCUAAAUAGUCUGAAAGGACAAACCGCAGUUAGUAUUCCAGCGGUAGAUACCGAUUAGAUACCGGUCUUAUUUUCUCAACAUCCUGUAAACUUAUCUGGGCCCGAUUAAUUCUCGAUUAAGUUCCAAAGAUUGUAGAUCAAGACUUGUGUCCCUGGAUCUAUUCGAUAUAGCCGUUAUCUUAUCAGAAAUUUCAACCUAUUGCUUCUUCGGAAAGGACUCUUCCUCUCGCCUCAAACUGAUCCUGUCUUGUUAUCAUCAUAGGUAUUAGUUUUCUCUCUAUUAUGAAUUGCCUGAAUGAAUUCGCAGAAACUGUCGCUUUCAUCUCCACGAUACCAAAAUGCCUCUCAGGUCGUCGUGACUGUUUCGAUUGAUUCCAAUGAUUUCUUGUUAACUCUCGGUAUCCGCGGACACCUCGGCCCGAGUAUAACAUUACCUUGGUCGACAAUGUGCCUCUAUUCGAAACUAUAAUUAAAAAAAGAGAAAGGUCGUGCAAUGACUAAACGUCUAUACCGAAUGUAUAUAUUAUAUUAAAAUAUUAGCUGCGGGUCGCAGUGAACGAUCCUUGUGUCCGGGGGUUAACGCAAAAGUGAUGCGAAUUUCUUUGGAAAACGUUCGGAACUUCUCCCGCCAAAUUUCAUUCGAUUUUCCACGCAAUAAAUGAAAAGUACGUUUGAUCGUGUUUCAAUUGAUCGAAGCAUGUGUAUCUCGCGAACCAGAUAGGUACUGGUGCUUCCGCGGGAAAUAGCCACAGCGUGUGUUUUACAUCACCGCCUGUGAUUAUCGAAGGGACAACGGACUGCGGCAGAUAUGGGGAUGUAAACAUGCAUUUGUGCGCCUUCUUCACGCUGAAGCACGGUACAUGAUCAAACGAACCACAAAAGAUAUGGAAAUAGCAUUUACUUUUGUAUCAUCGAUUCAAUCCAGUGAUAUAUUGUAACUUGUAAGUGUUUUUCGACGAAUAUGCGAUAGUGUAAGCCCACGAGAAGAGUGUAAGCGUAAAAGAGUGUUUUCUGAGUGCAUCGAAAGUAUGCAGAAACAAAAUACCGGAAAUUACAAAUGAUUUAUAAUUGAAAGACUGUUAAAACGUAUGACGUUUGUGACUCGCUUAAGAUGAUGGUUUGAAUCACACUUAAGACGGUUUGAAUCACGCUUAAGACGGUUUGAAUUAGUUCAAAAAAAAUUUGAUGUCUGAGAAAGGAUAAUCGAAUAUAUCUGUGAAUCACGUAAGCGUAAGGUUUGCCCGUUCUAAGUAAUUGUCAUUUCAUGUUGCACGUAUGCUGUAUUCAUUUCUAGCUUUUCGUUUUCUGUCGUGAAAAUAAGAACGCUAUAGGGUGCUGAAUACUUUCGAAAUUUUUUAAAAUAAUUUUUGGAAUGUUAUCACAACAGGCAGUUCUGUAUGCUCGUGUCGUCUCUAAGUUUCACAGAUUAAAACGUUCAACUUCCAUAUGUAGUUGUAUUUUGUGGUCAAUUGUACAGAACGGAAAAUUAUUUAUAACACUGUCAACUCCAUUAUAUGUUUAAAACGGAAGCUUCGAGCAAGAUCCGAAUUAGUGUCAAACACACAGAGGUUUUCAAUAAACCAAUAUUUCUUUUUUUAUUUUUGCAACUUGGACGCUCAAUAAAUCUUUCGAUGAAAUGUUACUCUGGCGAAUCGAAUUAUUACAAGAAUACAUCUGCAUGUUUAUUUGUUAAUAAAAGAUACAAAGUACAGUCGUUACAGCAUUUAUUUAUAUCUCAUUUCGGUGGGUGUACACAUUUUGAACGAGACUGUAGUUGUUUCCUGUUUGUUACUGAAUUCUGACGUUACGUGGCGUCGUUUCUCGUAGCUGGAAUUGUCUAAUUAGGAAAUAUAAUGAGAGACUUCGUAUUAUUGUCACGGCAGGCACUCUCCAAAAAUUAGUUAAUAUGGAUAUAGACUUGAGUAUUGCUAAUGUUUAUUGCUCUCAUUUAUAAGAGAGCUACUUUAUUUUCGGUUGAGUAGAGCGUGCGGUUCUAUUCGCGGGAAUAAAUUUGAUACUUAAGUGUGUCAAGUUUAACUCCCAUUAAUCAUUCUAAACUGAAUAUGUUAUUUAUCAUCUUUUAAAUUAGCAUCAUUCGGAUACAUGAUCUUUGUAAGAGCCUGUCAUUUAUUUAUUACAUUUUUCUUUAAUAAUUUCAUCGUAAAUUUCAAAUGCUACUUACAAUUUGAAUUUCGCGCCGAAUAAGCUUUACGAGAUAAUGUUUAUGUAUAUAUGUUGAUGUUGAAAUGACAUGUGACGCGACGUACGUGUAAAUGAUAAAUUUAAGCUGAAAAUACUGAUAAUAAUAACAAUAAUCAACAAAGAUCAUUUUUGACUAGUGCAUCAUUGAAAAUCGAAUACAGUCCCAUAAUUUUCAUGAUGCUUAAGUAUCAUGAACCGAUAUCAGCAUUUGCUGUACAAGCAAUGAAACGCAAGAACAUAGAAUUAACCUCAAAAUCGAAGAAAUUAAAAAAGAAGCAUGUUACGCCAGUGAAAAGAGUGACCUUACGAAAUGACACCAAAGAAGUAACAGAACAGCAACUGAACAAAACAUCUGUGAGCGCGAAUCAACAGAAAACAAAUAAGACCUCUACGUCCAAAAAACUUGCUCCGUCUGCUCUCAAGAAAAGUAAAUCACUUCGAAGCUUUUAUCAACUAAGGGAAACAAAUAAAAAGAUAGUUAACAAUUCAAAAGGUUCAAAAACAAAAUUGCAAUUAAAGAGUCCUCUAAUGGUAAAUGCAGGUGUUGCAAAAAUGAAACACAUUAAUCAAAAGCAUUCAAAACAGAAAAAGAAAGUAAAUGAAUUAUUUCCUCCUAAAGAAGUUAAAAUGCCUGAAGACUAUCAAAAGAAUCCUUUUGACAUCAGUCAUUCAUCGUUUGAAUUGAUGAUACAUCCAUUGAAAGUGGAAGACUUUUUGGAAAAAUAUUGGGAACAGACACCGGUGCAUAUAAAGAGGAACUGCAACACUUAUUACAAGUUGCUCAUGUCCACUCCAAUGAUGGAUAAAAUAUUAAGAGAGUCUUAUAUUCAAUUCACCAAAAAUAUUGAUAUCACUUCUUAUGAAAAUGGAGUGAGGGAAACACAUAAUCCUAUCGGUAGAGCAGUUCCAAGUGUUGUCUGGGACUAUUAUGGGAAUGGGUGCUCUGUUAGAAUGCUAAACCCACAGACAUACAUACCAAUAUUGCAUUCUCUAAACGCCACACUUCAAGAAUUCUUUGGUUGCUUUGUGGGAGCAAAUGCUUACCUAACGCCUCCAAAUAGCCAAGGUUUUGCUCCCCAUUAUGACGACAUAGAAGCUUUCAUACUGCAGGUAGAAGGCCAAAAAAGAUGGAGGUUAUACAAACCACGAUAUGAGAAAGAAUAUCUGCCAAGAUUCUCUUCGAGAAAUUUUGAAGAUUCGGAAAUAGGAGAACCCAUACUGGAUACAGUAGUGAAGGCAGGAGACUUGCUGUACUUCCCACGCGGAACCAUACAUCAGGGCACUGCUAUGGAGUCCCAUAGUCUUCAUAUAACAUUAAGUGUUUAUCAGAAAAAUAGCUGGACUGACUUUUUAGAGAAGUUACUCCCGGAUGCGUUAAAAACUGCGACAGAAAAUGACAGCGAGUUUCGAAAAGGAUUACCGUUUCAUUACUUAAGGCACACUGGCUUUGCUCAUUCCGAAAAUCAGAGCAGCAGCAAAGAGGAGUUCAGAGAGCAAGUGAGGCAUUUGCUUAGAAAGUUGGUGGAUCAUAUUGAUGUUGACAAAGCUGCAGAUCUGAUGGCCAAGAAUCAUGUGCACGAUUUCCUACCUCCGUUUCUAUCGGAGGUUGAGCAGGAAUGCUCUGUGCUUCAAGACGGCGAACGCAUGACUGCGAAUGGUUGUGUGAAGUAUCGAGUGGAGAUUGAGCCUGACACUAGAAUACGAUUGCUGCGAUCUCAUUGUAUUAGAUUAAUUAAAGAGCAUGGCACGUUCAGGAUAUACUACUCAAGUGAAAAUUCGAAAGAAUACCAUGAGUAUGAGCCACAAUUUUUGGAAGUUGGCAAAAAAUUUGUACCUGCAGUUAAGGAAAUAAUUCAGCGAUAUCCAGAAUUCAUUUCUGUCAAGGACUUGCCGAUCUUCGGCGAAGAUAACCAGAUACAAAUAGCUAAAGAUCUAUGGGAAAAGUGCAUUGUGGUGACGGACGAGCCGUUGUGCGUAAUAGACUGAUUAUACAGUUUCUAUUAGUCUUUACAAAAGCGACGAGAAAAUAAAAAAGAAGGGUGAAACAUAAGGCGGCGACGCAGAGGGUGGCAACGACUGACGAAUGACACCGCUUGAUAUUUCUUGCUGUGCCCGGUAACAAUAGGACCUGCUGGGACAUGUUCAUCGACUAUGUUGCCGUACCAGUGCCUAUUACCACUUCCACGGACUGAACACCCCCUUAGCUAGCGACAGAUGGGCGGUGAAGGGAGUCCCAGUAAUUAUUAUGCGAUUACCCACAAGCCCAUUGAUUUAGAUUGGACCCGGGGGGCGAAGCACGGCACUGGGCCCGUCUUCGAAUUUGCCACGCAUCGCUUACCCGCCUUCGCUAUACUUCCAAGAAUUAUUUCCAAGAAUUCCGAACGAACUCUCCUCGACGAUGCAUUCGCAAAAGGAAGAGGAAAAAAAGAGAAGAGAAGUGCAGCCGGCGUUUGGGUCGGUAGCAACUCGGAAUCAGGAAGCCGAGGGUCGACACUGUGAAGUGUGUACAGGGAGCAAUCCUAGAUAGGUGUUAAAAAACAAAACAGGAGACAGACAGGAAUCCGAGGUACUUACGAAUCAAUUUUCUAUAGGCUUACGGUGGUCGAGUGGGGAAUGCAUAUGUUGAGGGUGCCCCGAGGGGCUUUCGGUGCAAGUGGACCCCCCCGGGUGCUGCACGCACCCCCUAGCUCGAACAGAACACCCUCGAUUCGCCCCCUUCUUCGCUCUGGUGUCGAAAUCUAUAAAUAAUUUAUAUCAUUUGGUCCAUUCAACGAGAGAGCCCAUAUGUACCUGUGUCGCCUUACAGGGGAUCUGUGGCCGCUCCAGAUUUUUUUUUUUGGGUAUGUUGCUCGACCAUUUGUAUUAUAGCAGAGCAGAUCUUAUUUUUAUCGACGUUGUUCUAUUCCGUUUAAUUCGUCCGAGCGAAGUUUUUAUUUAACUUUGCGUUUCGCACGAAAGUUCUAACUACAAAUAUAAAGCGUGAAGCAGAAGAUGUGCAAAAAGUAUGAGCUACGUUAAGUACAACAAAUGCUUCAUUUUAAUCUUAGAGAAGCACAGUCGAUUUAAAUUAGUCUGGAAACUGAAGAAAAUCUUUUGUGAGCGCGAUUCUACGUUUAAAAAAAACUUUUACAUCGCACCGUACUCUAAAGGAAACGUUUCUGCUCCCCCAAAGGGCCUAUUCUCCAAAAGAAAUUGAAUAUCUUGAAACCGGACACCGAGUUUGCAAAUGCGCUUUUAAAUAGCCCGCGUUCUUUGUCUUCGAAAGCUCGCCGCCCGCGACUAUCGGAGCGCGAUCUGGAGAUGGGGUAGGUCCCUCGCACCCUCCCCGAGUUAGGUUAGGUUAACCUAGUGUCGCAGAGCCGCCGGACUCGAGUUCCAUCUCGAUUUCAGCGAAUUUCCAACCCCUUGGAAUGAUAAUGAUUAAUGGUAAUGAUUGAGCAUAAAUUUACCUUGAUUUAGAAGUUGAAUCAGCCGAUGGUUGAUACUCGCGGGCCAGCACCGUGGUCCAAUUUUCCCCGUUGGUGAUUCCGAUGGUGUUUUGGACCUAACGGGGAAAUCGCGUGCUUAUCGACGUUUUUCGGGGAGCUUGCGUAUUCGAGGAGUUGCUCAAAGCUCUGAUAUCUUCUUGAGCGGGUUAUGCGGCUUUUGAAUUCUCGACGUGGGUAAGAAAGUCCGUUAAGAACUACCCCUUCGCCUUUUCGAUUUUGUGAAAAUAUUUUGUUUGGUCGCUUUUGGCCGAAUGGAUGAACAGGGAAAGAAACGUUCAAUUGGUUGCUUUUAGGCAAAUCGAUGAAUGAGUCUUAGAGAAUAAAUUUGAGUUUCUGAAUUAUGGGAAUACCAUUGAUGCAACUUUGGUGAACAAAUUAUUGCUCAUUGUAGAGUCAAGUAAAGUUGAUACUGAAGAGAAAAGGAUGCCUUUCCUAUAAUAAUUAUGGCAUAGUAGCACAGCUACUCAGGACUACUGUCAACUUUUCAACUUUUACAAGGCACAACAAAUAGGUUGUUUCACAUUUCUAGUGUCCAAGAUACUUGUCUCAGACUGAGUUACAGUCUUGACACAGCUGGAUUAUGCCCAGGAGUUUAAAAGUCCAGAACUAAAUCCAGGAGUUAGCUCUUGGACUGCAAUCUCCUUUGGACUUUCACAAGCAACAAAAAUGCGUUGCUUGCCAUUUUCAGCAACAAUGACACUUGUCCUGGAGUUAUGUUCCAGCCCCUACAAGACUAGACUUGGUUUGAGCUAGAUCUAGGAGUCCAAAAUUCCAGAAUUAAAGCCUGGGAUAAGCUUUUAUUCUACAACAAAUGCUCUUCUAACUUUCAGGAGAUAUUAAAAACGGGUUCCUUCGUACUGCAAGUACAUUGUAUCUUGGACUCCCUAGGUCCGGUAACCAUGAUUGAUCAUGUGCUCUCACAGAAAUCGUUCCAGGAACCGCUUAAUCCAACAUACAGGGCUAUGUUUCGCGAUUUUGGGUCUGGAUUUUUUCUGAAUUUAGAGUUAGAAAAACUUGUGUCCACACCUGAUGGCAAAGUUUCUGUGAUCCAGGUCCAAGGACUUCCACAGUGACCCCGGUUUUCUGGGGCACGUGCCCACGGAUAUCGGCAUUUCGGGGCACGUUAAUACCUCGCUAUUCAGACGGAUAGAGAGAGAACAGAGCGAAACAUUCACUCCUGUACAUUGUUUGUGGCUUGGAAUCAAUAAAAGCAUAGCUUUAGGCGACGGUAGUCGUCAUGGCAACCGGAGA